GGAUGUAGCUCAGUGGUAGAGCGCCCGCUUGCAUGCAAAAGUCCUGGGUUUAAUCCCAGUACAUCCA
rnacentral:tRNA from 1 species